rnacentral:miRNA from 14 species
CUCUGCAACCUUAGGACUUGCA